UACAGAGGGGGCGAGCGUUGUUCGGAAUUACUGGGCGUAAAGGGCGCGUAGGCGGCCUGCUAAGUCGAACGUGAAAUCCCCGGGCUCAACCCGGGAACUGCGUCCGAUACUGGUGGGCUUGAAUCCGGGAGAGGGAUGUGGAAUUCCAGGUGUAGCGGUGAAAUGCGUAGAUAUCUGGAGGAACACCGGUGGCGAAGGCGGCAUCCUGGACCAAUAUUGACGCUGAGGAGCGAAAGCCAGGGGAGCAAACGGG
rnacentral:rRNA from 1 species